rnacentral:rRNA from 1 species
GAUGAACGCUGGCGGCGUGCUUAGCACAUGCCAGUCGAACGAGAAUUGUCGACGGAAACCUUCGGGCGGAAGACUUUAUUUUGAGUGGCUGACCUGUGAGUCACGCGUGGGUAACCUGCCUCAUACUGGUGGAUAACACUUGGAAACGACUGUUAAUUCCGCAUCAAACCACCGCACCGCAUGUUGCUGGGGUAAAAAGUCCGGUGGUAUGAGCUGAACCCGCGUUCGAUUAGCCAGUUGGCGGGGUAAUGGCCCACCAAAGCGACGAUCGAUAGCCGAUCGGGGAGGAUGACCGGCCACAUUGGGAAUGAGACACGGCCCAAACUCCUACGGGAGGAAGCAGUGGGGAAUAUUGCAAAAAGGGGGAAACCCUGAUGCAGCGACGCCGCGUGAGUGAAGAAGUAGUUCGGUAUGUAAAGCUCUAUUAGCAGGGAAGAAAAUGACGGUACCUGAGUAAGAAGCCCCGGCUAACUACGUG